GGAAAUGUACCCCUGUAGCUGAAUGACAGUUGGUUUUUCCUCAUGUUCCCGCCUGAUUGAUUGCUGGUUGUAUAAAAACGAGACUGAUAUCCAGCAGGCUUAUUCACUGAGUACUAGUCGCUGCGAUCAGCUUUGGUACACCAUAAUAGGCCUUGAAAAUCCACUUCAUAUCAAAGCUUGGAAUGAUAAAGGUCAUAGGUCAACAUGCAAGUAGUUCAAGUGCAUGCUAGAAAAGACGUCAGUUAGGCAAGUAGAAUAUAACUAAACUCCCAAUCCCCUUUAACUGCUACGAGGAUAUGAAAAUAAACGCACCAUAUGCUGAUUUGAACUUGUAAUUAAGCCCUGUGGUAGAGAAUUAAUGGAUCGUUUUGGCUGAUUUGACUGUGAUGGAGUUUUUGGUGAUUCAGGCAAUAGAACAUGAUGAGUGUUAUGAUUACGAUAAACACAAGGACCAUCUUUAAUCACACUCUGAGCAUUUCCUACAGAAACUUUGGUUGUCACUCAAUAUUUUAACGUAUAAUUCACACUGUUAUUAUAAUUAUGCUCUUUAUUUAGGACAAUGAAAAAAUGCUUAAACCGUUCUUCUGCAAUAUCGACUAUUAUGAAGACCUCUGACCCUGAGAAGCUGGAGAUGAAUCCUGCGAACUUUACUAUGUGCAACUAUUAACUUUUAACAACUAACAGAGAGACCGAGAACUGAUCAUUAUUUGAAAAGAGGCUAUUUUUAUACUAAGCACUUGGACACUGCGAUUCGGAUCGGGGUUUGGAGUUGCGCGCGGGCGGCUUUGAGUUGACAUUUUGGGAGGACAGGAUAUCGUGCUGUUGCAUGGAGAUCUACAGUUAACGUUUUGGUUUUUGUAUUUUGACUCUCUGCAUAUUCAACACCAAGUACCACGAAUUGAAAAGAGCAGUGGUCUGGACAAAUGGCAGGAAAAAAUAUAAAUAAAUAAUAAGGAGGAGCCAUUGCUAUUAAGGGCCUAUAACCUUCUGCACUUUUUCGUGACCCUUUUUAAUUUGUAUACUAGUGCAUGAAGGAACUGUCUUUAAAAUAUAUCCUUUCCUUAUUAUGGUAUUUCCUCAUUAAUAUGAAGACAUAUCAAGCUGAACUUCACUCCUCACUGCAUAUCCGCAUAUCCUGGGGCUGUGGUGAACCAGACAGUGGCCUCAAAGUUUCCCUACUUAAGGGCAAGAAUUAGCUGGACAUUUUCAUCCUCAUCAUCACUGGCAUUACCAUCCCUCGUCAUAAUCAUUUUCUGAUUACUGUUAUUCCUCUAAUUUGAAUGCAGUAGAAAAUCAGUUCAGUUUGUUUUCUCUUUGGUCCCCUUCUUUUCUUUCUGUUUCUUUUUAAAAAAAUUUUUUUUUUUUACCUGCUCUGUCUCUUGGAUGCUGGCCUUCGUUCCAAUAUAAAGGAGGGAACAUUGAAUGGAUGCUGGAUUGACAGCGAGAACUAUUCUGAAAGCCCAGUGCUUAUCAGAUAUAUGCAAAAAGAAGCAGUAACUGUGAACUAAGACUAGAACAGAAAAUCCACUUCUUCCUUCACAAAUACAUUCCCAAACGCACACCUGAGCCCCCGAACCAGUAUCAGCUCCCGUACAAGUGCAUUUUAGUUUGUAUUCUCAUCUCAUGGCGUCAUCAAUCUUGUUUAAUCAUCUUAGUUUUGCAUUAUUAAAGAGCAGAUUAGUUGUUUUUCUCCCCCUUGCUGUUGCGUUAACCUCAGCUCUAGCCCCCUCUGCUGGUUUUACGGGGGAUGACGUAGCAUUCGCUGUUGUAGAUCAUUAGCACUCCUUUGUCACUUUAGAGGCUAAGAAUACAGAUUUUAGCCCUUAAUGUUUACCUGUUAUAUUUAAGAUAAAAAAAAGAUUCUUUAGGCAUUUAUUUGAACAGACUCAGACCAGAAGGAGUGUUUUCCUGUUCACUAAACACUGAUCAGAGCAGAGAGAAAGAAUAUAAUGCUAAGAAGUCUGCUCACUGCAGCAAUGCAUGUUUCCACACAUUCAAGAUCCCUAGUGCAUUUUGUGGUUUUGCUGUGUGUAGUCUAUCUGUUAAGGUGUAGUCAGGGUGAACAGAGUGGAUGGGAUGGCUCCACUUUUAUCCCUUUAUUUCAGUUCUGAGGUUACGAUGUGGAAGAGACAGGCCUGCCACUAGUUAGCUUAGUUAGCGAAUGCCCUGGUAAAAGCAGAGGCUGCAUGUGAUCACGCAGGACAGUGUAAAUAAUUCUCUGCAUGUGGAGUUAACAGCACAGAAACUGAAAUCCGUUUGAUUCAAAUGGAGAGCAGGUCGAGUUCAAACGAUUUAGCGACAUUAUCCAGAAUCCUCUCUGUUUCUGACUUACACUGCCCUGUCACUACUCAGGUAAAUCUCUUUUUGUUUGUCUAUACCAGUGCUUCCAAAAUGAUGUCAUUCGAAACAAAGAGAGAGGCAGAUGAGAACACCCCGUGUACGCAUGCACUUGUGUAAAUAUGAAAUAAUCAUGUUUGAUCCCAACAUUCAUUCCAAGUCUUCCUUUUCCACAGUGUCCUUCUCGCCCUUCAUUUCGUCAUUUCAUCCGUCACUUUCAUUUAUUCCCAACUCUUACUGCUUCCAAAUAACAACCAAAAAAGCCCGGAUGACAUUAUGAGAAACUGAGGAAAAAUAAUGAGUGAUUUGUUUAAAAAAAAGAGAACUUUUCAAUGACGGUCUGCCAUAAGUGGAUUACAAAACAAACCUGUUUGUGGAAUCAGGAUGCAACCAAAUUCAGGAGAUGAAAGCAUGAGGGUCAGAUGGACAGAUUGUGUGUUUGGGUAACAGAGUUUUGGGAGGAUUGUCAACAAAUGAAGAAAGGCAUCGUGAAAUGGAGGACAGUUUGGGGAAGAAAGAAAAAAAGCAAAGAGAGGAGGAAGGGAGCUGAACGCUUCUCAGUUGCUGAGCUUCUGAACUGCCCCUUUUCUAAAGCUCCCCAACCGCAAAACCUGUCCAGAGGCAACCCCCAGGGUCACCGCAGGAUUAGUGAUGGCGAAAGAGAGAAAACGAGAGAUGAAAGGAGUGCUUCACUAAACCAACUUGAAGAAAACAUUGUAACGUUCAUCUCUCCAUUACUAAUUUUAACCCCCAACGUAGGUGCAAUAAACUGACAAUAUCACGUCCUGGGAGGAUGUGGAACACAGGGAUCGCUGGCCUUGGAAUACGGGUGGGAUUCAGCAUACAAACUGUAGUAUGUCCUGGCUCGACCUGAUGGAAAUGGAUGCAAUUUUAAAGUGAUGGGAACUAUUUUUGUGGGGUGCUCCACCAUGAUAAUUGCACCUGAAAGUGGACAAAAAACCCUCGAUCCAGUCUCAGAUACACAUAAUGUGUGGAAAAACACCCAUCAUGCCCUUCAACGCUAUGCAAUUCAAACACACGUUGACAGUCAAUUUCAUCAAACGCUUCAAUCGAACAGUUUAUCAGCCAAAUCUUUUCCGCUCCUUUACCUUUUGGAGAUCUUGCACGUGCUUUAAAUGAAAAUAGACAGCGGCGCCAUCGUACUGUUUC